CAUCACAACCAUGAGCUAACAGAGGCUAACUAUAAGAGCAGAGUUGGAGUGGACCUCUUGUUGAAGAACUUCUCCAGGCACUAUGAACCAUCUGACUAGCCAUCCUGUUUAACACUGCAUUGAGGACACUACAACCAGAAAGAUGCUGUCAUGAAACGCCAUGAAAAGGCAACUGCUAGACACCUGGGACAGGCCAUCAAUUCCAAGUUCGCGGAAACUGAGGUUCCAACUGAAGAAAAAGGAGACCUGUUGGAGUUUAGAGUUGUCUAAUAGAGAGGGUGAAGGAAGAACAUCCAAACCCUGCCCCUGCUUCCUUCAAGAUUUUUUAUGGAUUUAUAUAAUGGUGUUUUUUUCGUAAAGUAAAGGCAGUGGCA